rnacentral:rRNA from 1 species
CAGUCGCCGCGGGAAUACAGAGGGUGCGAGCGUUAAUCGGAUUUACUGGGCGUAAAGCGUGCGUAGGCGGCUUCUUAAGUCGGAUGUGAAAUCCCUGAGCUUAACUUAGGAAUUGCAUUCGAUACUGGGAAGCUAGAGUAUGGGAGAGGAUGGUAGAAUUCCAGGUGUAGCGGUGAAAUGCGUAGAGAUCUGGAGGAAUACCGAUGGCGAAGGCAGCCAUCUGGCCUAAUACUGACGCUGAGGUACGAAAGCAUGGGGAGCAAACAGGAUUAGAUACCCCCGUAGUCCCUGUUUCUUAUAC